ensembl:lncRNA
GGUGAAUACAGACAACCCUGUUGUUAAGUUUGGUUGUGAAGAGAAGGAAGGAAAUGAACAAGCUGCAGGAGGACAUGGCCAUCUUCUUUCUGGUCCUUGCUUGCCUCACUGAGAGGAAGGAUGGUGACCUAACUGGUACUCUUCACGUUCAGCCAACAUUGUCCCCUUAAUUCCCUAGGGAAGAUAACUACAACACUGUUUAACAACAGAGUGAAGGCACUUGACUUUUAUCGGCACCUGAUCUCACCACUGGAGUGCAUCCAUCCCUGGGAAUCCCAGGUUGCCAGGGGACUAUCUGUGCAGUUCAAGACUUUGGCACAGAGAAUAUGAAUGGAUGAAGGGAGCAAAAGCCCCAGCCUCCAGAUAUCUGCCUGGAACACUCUUCCACAUUGACACAAGUUUCCCUCCCAUUCUCCAUUUGGGUCUUUGGAUCAAAUAUUACCUCAUUAGAACUGCCUUCAGACUGGGGGCAAGAGGAACCCCCUACCUUGUCUUCUGAGCUCUCCAGUCCUCUUCCAGCCAUGCCCCUUUCCACAGAGUUAGAAGCCCAUGGGUCAAGGGGAUGUGCCCACCCAAAGCUCCUGUGCCUCACCUCUUCUUAGAUCAUACAGGGAGUACCCGAGACCCUAGAACUCCCAUUCCAAGAGUACCAGGCCAACUUCCAGAGACUACAUCAGCCUUUUCCUCAAGGUCUAUUCUCUUGAGGAACCAAGGAUGGGCUAUUUGCUAAAGGUAUGGCUGGAGCUCAGAUAUGCAGACAGGGAUGUUAUAGGUGCAGGCACAAAGUCCCAUGAAGAGUGGGACAGAGCUGGGGUGCAAAGAACGGGAGGAAGUUUGAGGGCCAGGGACCAGUUACCACCCAAGAAGCCCCAUUCCAGUGUACAUCUUAGGGGGAGUCUGAGAAUCCUAAACUUAAGUUUGGCCUUCCAGAUUUUUGUGACUGUGUACUUGUCAAGAUGAAAGGACAGGAUUUCUACCUAAGUUUAGACUGGCUUAUAAUUUUAAAUUAGGUAGAUAUACGUGUGGGGCUUCCCAGGUGCUCAGUGGUAAACAAUUCGCCUGCCAAUGUAGGAGACAUGAGUUUGAUCCCUGGGUCGGGAAGAUCACCUGGAGAAGGAAAUGGCUACCCACUCUAGUAUUCUUGCCUGGGAAAUCCCAUGGACAGAGGAGCCUGGAGGGCUGCAGUCCAUGGGGGUCGCAAAGAGUCGGAUGUGACCUAAUGACUGAGCACACACACAUGAUAUGUUUAUCUCCAUUUGCACUGUUUGCCCUGGCCCUGUAAAUAUCAGGGAUGGGUCUAUCCCUGACCUCCCUAUCUAAAAUAAAAUACCACUUCCUCUGUCAAAUAAAAUACCACUUCCUCUGUCACUUUAUUCUUACUUCAUCGUACAUUUCUUCAGAACCUUUGUCAACACAGGAUCUACAUUUAUGUCUCUAUCCUUGUCUAUGUAGGUUCCAUGACUGUAGAGUCUUGAUUUUAUGUACUGCCUUAGCCUUAGUACCUACAGCAGCGCCUCGCACAAAGAAACUACUAGAUAAAUGUUGAAUGAAUAACAAAUCUAGUCUCAGAAGACUUACAAGCAAGGUGGGCUAACCCAGGAGGCACAGACGAAAAAGAUCAGUUGUGACAACACUCUGAGGAACACCUGCUCCCCUGAAGAUAACCCAGCAUUGGAGCAGACUGGAGGGUUAGAUGUGGGGGACCUGGGCUGCUGGGAGCCAGGUGGCCAGAACUGCGCGCUGAGCAAACUCUGACGCCACCCAAUGGGCCAUGCCAAUCCAGUCCAGUCUAUGAUGGGAGGGGGCUUCUAAUUCAUUAUCAGGAAGCCCUCAAAUAUGUUUUCCUUGGAUGGUCACAGGCCUCAGGCGGUGUGGACACAUCUGAUCCCCGUGGGGUCAUUGUGGUUACACACUCAAGAGACUGUCUUUCCACCCCUCCCUCUCUCCCACAUGCUUCUAAG